rnacentral:rRNA from 1 species
AUGCAAGUCGAACGCACAGCGAAAGGUGCUUGCACCUUUCAAGUGAGUGGCGAACGGGUGAGUAACACGUGGACAACCUGCCUCAAGGCUGGGGAUAACAUUUGGAAACAGAUGCUAAUACCGAAUAAAACUUAGUGUCGCAUGAUACAAAGUUAAAAGGCGCUUCGGCGUCACCUAGAGAUGGAUCCGCGGUGCAUUAGUUAGUUGGUGGGGUAAAGGCCUACCAAGACGAUGAUGCAUAGCCGAGUUGAGAGACUGAUCGGCCACAUUGGGACUGAGACACGGCCCAAACUCCUACGGGAGGCUGCAGUAGGGAAUCUUCCACAAUGGGCGAAAGCCUGAUGGAGCAACGCCGCGUGUGUGAUGAAGGCUUUCGGGUCGUAAAGCACUGUUGUAUGGGAAGAACAGCUAGAAUAGGAAAUGAUUUUAGUUUGACGGUACCAUACCAGAAAGGGACGGCUAAAUACGUGCCAGCAGCCGCGGUAAUACGUAUGUCCCGAGCGUUAUCCGGAUUUAUUGGGCGUAAAGCGAGCGCAGACGGUUUAUUAAGUCUGAUGUGAAAGCCCGGAGCUCAACUCCGGAAUUGCAUUGGAAACUGGUUAACUUGAGUGCAGUAGAGGUAAGUGGAACUCCAUGUGUAGCGGUGGAAUGCGUAGAUAUAUGGAAGAACACCAGUGGCGAAGGCGGCUUACUGGACUGCAACUGACGUUGAGGCUCGAAAGUGUGGGUAGCAAACAGGAUUAGAUACCCUGGUAGUCCACACCGUAAACGAUGAACACUAGGUGUUAGGAGGUUUCCGCCUCUUAGUGCCGAAGCUAACGCAUUAAGUGUUCCGCCUGGGGAGUACGACCGCAAGGUUGAAACUCAAAGGAAUUGACGGGGACCCGCCAAGCGGUGGA